CCACAUCUAGGCAAAAUAUUGUGGCAUCCACGUGUGUGUCUACGUACAGCGUGUUGACAUUACUGAAGUAGCUCGUGUGUAUAAAACCUGGAAAAUUUGUUAAUUAACCAUCAGUUCUUCACUAGUUGUGGGUUGAGAAGCCAGAUACAAACAUGAAAUACUUCUUUGUGCUAGCAGCUAUACUGGCAGUGUUCGUGCUACAAACGAGUGCACAAAGAUGCGACUGUCCCGACGACUUCGUGCCUGUCUGCGCCAGAGACAUGCGGACCUACCCUAAUGAAUGCACUAUGACCUGUGCGCGGCAGCAGAAGUUGUAUGACGGAGAGUGCAGAAGACAGGCGCCCAUUAAAUAGUAUUCUUCUAUUCGAGAAGAAGAUAGGAAAUCUAAACAACUUCUUACUACUUCUGAUUCCCUAGUAGUUUAGAUAA